CCUACGGGCGGCAGCAGUGGGGAAUAUUGGACAAUGGGGGGAACCCUGAUCCAGCGACGCCGCGUGAGUGAAGAAGGAUUUCGGUAUGUAAAGUUCUAUCAGCAGGGAAGAAAAUGACGGUAUCUGACUAAGAAGCACCGGCUAACUACGUGCCAGCAGCCGCGGUAAUACGUAGGGGGCAAGCGUUAUCCGGAGUUACUGGGGGUAAAGGGUGCGUAGACGGGGCAGCAAGUCGGAUGUGAAAUGGCGUGGCGCAACCCCUGAACUGCAUUGGAAACUGUUGAACUGGAGUGCAGGAGAGGUAAGCGGAAUUCCUAGUGUAGCGGUGAAAUGCGUAGAUAUUAGGAGGAACACCAGUGGCGAAGGCGGCUUACUGGACUGUUACUGACGUUGAGGCUCGAAAGCGUGGGGAGCAAACAGGAUUAGAUACCCUUGUAGUU
rnacentral:rRNA from 1 species